rnacentral:snRNA from 1 species
AUACUUACCUGGCAGGAGAGAUACCAUGAUUACAAAGGUGGUUUUCCCAGGGCGAGGCUUAUCCAUUGCACUUCCGGGUGUGCUGACCCCUGCCAUUUUCCCCAAAAUGUGGGAAACUCGACUGCAUAAUUUGUGGUAGUGGGGGGACUGCGUUCACGCUUCUUCCUC